GGGGAUGUGGCUCAAGCGGUAGUGCGCUCGCCUGGCAUGCGUGCACCCUGGGUUCGAUCCUCAGCACCACA
rnacentral:tRNA from 1 species